rnacentral:rRNA from 1 species
GACGAACGCUGGCGGCGUGCUUAACACAUGCAAGUCGAACGAUGAAGCCGGAGCUUGCUCUGGUGAAUUAGUGGCGAACGGGUGAGUAACACGUGAGUAACCUGCCCUUGACUCUGGGAUAACUGCUAGAAAUGGUAGCUAAUACCGGAUACGACCCUCGGAGGCAUCUCCAGGGGGUGGAAAGAAUUUAGGUCAAGGAUGGACUCGCGGCCUAUCAGCUAGUUGGUGAGGUAACGGCUCACCAAGGCGACGACGGGUAGCCGGCCUGAGAGGGUGACCGGGCACACUGGGACUGAGACACGGCCGAGACUCCGACGGGAGGGAGCAGUGGGGAAGAUUGCACCAUGGGCGCAGGCCUGAUGCAGCAACGCCGCGUGAGGGAUGACGGCCUUCGGGUUGUAAACCUCUUUUAGCAGGGAAGAAGCGAAAGUGACGGUACCUGCAGAAAAAGCACCGGCUAACUACGUGCCAGCCGCCGCAGUAA